GUAGAAACUUGAGCGACGAUAUAUCGAAAUUAUCGUCAUGCUCGAUGACUAUCGUGAUAUUGCUUCGCUUGUGUAUAUAUAUAGCUGUUAUAAAAUCCUAAAAAAUUCUUUCAAUUCCCGAGAAAAUAUAGUUUUUAAAAGAAUUAAAACUAUUUCCUGAAUUAAAUACGAACUUAAUACGAUACAAACACUAAUAUUUAUGUAUUAAUCUGCUGAACAAUGGAAUUGCAGGCUUUGCUUGUGCUGUGUGCCCACGGCAGUAAAUAUUAG